GUGCUUGCUUUGGCACAUAUAUACCACACAUAUACCAAAAUUGGAACAAUGCAGAGAAGAUUAGCAUAGGCCCUGCACAAGGAUGACAUGCAAAUUCAUGAAGGGUUCCUGUUUAAA
rnacentral:snRNA from 1 species